rnacentral:rRNA from 1 species
GACGAACGCUGGCGGCGUGCUUAACACAUGCAAGUCGAACGGUGAAGCGCCUUCCUUUUUGGUGGGUGUGGAUGAGUGGCGAACGGGUGAGUAACACGUGAGUAACCUGCCCCCUUCUUCUGGAUAACCGCAUGAAAGUGUGGCUAAUACGGGAUAUUCUGGUUCUGUCGCAUGAUGGUUCUGGGAAAGAUAUUGUUUCGGUGGGGGAUGGGCUCGCGGCCUAUCAGCUUGUUGGUGGGGUGAUGGCCUACCAAGGCGGUGACGGGUAGCCGGCCUGAGAGGGUGGACGGUCACACUGGGACUGAGACACGGCCCAGACUCCUACGGGAGGCAGCAGUGGGGAAUAUUGCACAAUGGGCGCAAGCCUGAUGCAGCGACGCCGCGUGAGGGAUGGAGGCCUUCGGGUUGUGAACCUCUUUCGCCAGUGAAGCAGGCCUGCCUCGUUUGUGGGUGGGUUGACGGCAGCUGGAUAAGAAGCGCCGGCUAACUACGUG